rnacentral:rRNA from 1 species
CAGGCUUAACACAUGCAAGUCGAGGGGCAGCAUGGUCUUAGCUUGCUAAGGCCGAUGGCGACCGGCGCACGGGUGAGUAACACGUAUCCAACCUGCCGUCUACUCUUGGACAGCCUUCUGAAAGGAAGAUUAAUACAAGAUGGCAUCAUGAGUCCGCAUGUUCACAUGAUUAAAGGUAUUCCGGUAGACGAUGGGGAUGCGUUCCAUUAGAUAGUAGGCGGGGUAACGGCCCACCUAGUCUUCGAUGGAUAGGGGUUCUGAGAGGAAGGUCCCCCACAUUGGAACUGAGACACGGUCCAAACUCCUACGGGAGGCAGCAGUGAGGAAUAUUGGUCAAUGGGCGAGAGCCUGAACCAGCCAAGUAGCGUGAAGGAUGACUGCCCUAUGGGUUGUAAACUUCUUUUAUAAAGGAAUAAAGUCGGGUAUGGAUACCCGUUUGCAUGUACUUUAUGAAUAAGGAUCGGCUAACUCCGUGCCAGCAGCCGCGGUAAUACGGAGGAUCCGAGCGUUAUCCGGAUUUAUUGGGUUUAAAGGGAGCGUAGAUGGAUGUUUAAGUCAGUUGUGAAAGUUUGCGGCUCAACCGUAAAAUUGCAGUUGAUACUGGAUAUCUUGAGUGCAGUUGAGGCAGGCGGAAUUCGUGGUGUAGCGGUGAAAUGCUUAGAUAUCACGAAGAACUCCGAUUGCGAAGGCAGCCUGCUAAGCUGCAACUGACAUUGAGGCUCGAAAGUGUGGGUAUCAAACAGGAUUAGAUACCCUGGUAGUCCACACGGUAAACGAUGAAUACUCGCUGUUUGCGAUAUACUGCAAGCGGCCAAGCGAAAGCGUUAAGUAUUCCACCUGGGGAGUACGCCGGCAACGGUGAAACUCAAAGGAAUUGACGGGGGCCCGCACAAGCGGAGGAACAUGUGGUUUAAUUCGAUGAUACGCGAGGAACCUUACCCGGGCUUAAAUUGCAGAUGAAUUACGGUGAAAGCCGUAAGCCGCAAGGCAUCUGUGAAGGUGCUGCAUGGUUGUCGUCAGCUCGUGCCGUGAGGUGUCGGCUUAAGUGCCAUAACGAGCGCAACCCUUGUUGUCAGUUACUAACAGGUUCCGCUGAGGACUCUGACAAGACUGCCAUCGUAAGAUGUGAGGAAGGUGGGGAUGACGUCAAAUCAGCACGGCCCUUACGUCCGGGGCUACACACGUGUUACAAUGGGGGGUACAGAGGGCCGCUACCACGCGAGUGGAUGCCAAUCCCCAAAACCUCUCUCAGUUCGGACUGGAGUCUGCAACCCGACUCCACGAAGCUGGAUUCGCUAGUAAUCGCGCAUCAGCCACGGCGCGGUGAAUACGUUCCCGGGCCUCGUACACACCGCUCGUCAAGCCAUGGGAGCCGGGGGUACCUGAAGUGCGUAACCGCGAGGAGCGCCCUAGGGUAAAACUGGUGACUGGGGCUAA